UGGGGAAUAUUGCACAAUGGGCGAAAGCCUGAUGCAGCAACGCCGCGUGAGUGAUGAAGGCCUUCGGGUUGUAAAGCUCUGUCUUUUGGGACGAUAAUGACGGUACCAAAGGAGGAAGCCACGGCUAACUACGUGCCAGCAGCCGCGGUAAUACGUAGGUGGCAAGCGUUGUCCGGAAUUACUGGGCGUAAAGAAUGCGUAGGUGGAUAUGCAAGUCAGAUGUGAAAUACCCGGGCUCAACUUGGGUGCUGCAUUUGAAACUAUAUAUCUAGAGUGCAGGAGAGGAAAGCGGAAUUCCUAGUGUAGCGGUGAAAUGCGUAGAGAUUAGGAAGAACACCAGUGGCGAAGGCGGCUUUCUGGACUGUAACUGACACUGAGGCAUGAAAGCGUGGGGAGCAAAC
rnacentral:rRNA from 1 species